rnacentral:rRNA from 1 species
AACGAACGCUGGCGGCGUGCCUAAUACAUGCAAGUUGAGCGCUGAAGGUCGGUACUUGUACCGACUGGAUGAGCAGCGAACGGGUGAGUAACGCGUGGGGAAUCUGCCUUUGAGCGGGGGACAACAUUUGGAAACGAAUGCUAAUACCGCAUAAAAACUUUAAACACAAGUUUUAAGUUUGAAAGAUGCAAUUGCAUCACUCAAAGAUGAUCCCGCGUUGUAUUAGCGAGUUGGUGAGGUAAAGGCUCACCAAGGCGAUGAUACAUAGCCGACCUGAGAGGGUGAUCGGCCACAUUGGGACGUGGCCACGGCCCAAACUCCUACGGGAGGUAGCAGUAGGGAAUCUUCGGCAAUGGACGAAAGUCUGACCGAGCAACGCCGCGUGAGUGAAGAAGGUUUUCGGAUCGUAAAACUCUGUUGGUAGAGAAGAACGUUGGUGAGAGUGGAAAGCUCAUCAAGUGACGGUAACUACCCAGAAAGGGACGGCUAACUACGUGCCAGCAGCCGCAGUAA